UACGUAGGGGGCAAGCGUUGUCCGGAUUUAUUGGGCGUAAAGAGCGUGUAGGCGGCUAGGUAGGUCCGUUGUGAAAACUCGAGGCUCAACCUCGAGACGCCGGUGGAAACCAUCUAGCUAGAGUCCGGAAGAGGAGAGUGGGAAUUCCUGGUGUAGCGGUGGAAAUGACGCAGAUAUCAGGAAGAACACCCGUGGCGAAGGCGGCUCUCUGGGACGUGACUGACGCUGAGACGCGAAAGCGUGGGGAGCGAACAGG
rnacentral:rRNA from 1 species